rnacentral:rRNA from 1 species
AGUCGAGCGGGGAGAUGUAGCUUGCUACAUUUCCUACGGCGGACGGGUGAGUAAUGCUUAGGAAUCUGCCUAUUAGUGGGGGGCAACAUUCCGAAAGGAAUGCUAAUACCGCAUACGCCCUACGGGGGAAAGCAGGGGAUCUUCGGACCUUGCGCUAAUAGAUGAGCCUAAGUCAGAUUAGCUAGUUGGUGGGGUAAAGGCCUACCAAGGCGACGAUCUGUAGCGGGUCUGAGAGGAUGAUCCGCCACACUGGGACUGAGACACGGCCCAGACUCCUACGGGAGGCAGCAGUGGGGAAUAUUGGACAAUGGGCGAAAGCCUGAUCCAGCCAUGCCGCGUGUGUGAAGAAGGCCUUUUGGUUGUAAAGCACUUUAAGCGAGGAGGAGGCUACUUAGAUUAAUACUCUAGGAUAGUGGACGUUACUCGCAGAAUAAGCACCGGCUAACUCUGUGCCAGCAGCCGCGGUAAUACAGAGGGUGCGAGCGUUAAUCGGAUUUACUGGGCGUAAAGCGUGCGUAGGCGGCUUUUUAAGUCGGAUGUGAAAUCCCUGAGCUUAACUUAGGAAUUGCAUUCGAUACUGGGAAGCUAGAGUAUGGGAGAGGAUGGUAGAAUUCCAGGUGUAGCGGUGAAAUGCGUAGAGAUCUGGAGAAUACCGAUGGCGAAGGCAGCCAUCUGGCCUAAUACUGACGCUGAGGUACGAAAGCAUGGGGAGCAAACAGGAUUAGAUACCCCUGGUAGUCCAUGCCGCAAAUGAUGUCUACUAGCCGUUGGAGACCUUUGAAGCUU